AACGAACGCUGGCGGCAUGCCUAACACAUGCAAGUCGAACGAGACCUUCGGGUCUAGUGGCGCACGGGUGCGUAACGCGUGGGAACCUUCCCUUAGGUUCGGAAUAACUCCCCGAAAGGGGUGCUAAUACCGGAUAAUGUCUUCGGACCAAAGAUUUAUCGCCUUUGGAUGGGCCCGCGUUGGAUUAGCUAGUUGGUAGGGUAAAAGCCUACCAAGGCGACGAUCCAUAGCUGGUCUGAGAGGAUGAUCAGCCACACUGGGACUGAGACACGGCCGAGACUCCUACGGGAGGAAGCAGUGGGGAAUAGUGGACAAUGGGCGAAAGGAUGAUCCAGCAAUGACGGGUGUGUGAUGAAGGCCGUAGGGUUGUAAAGCUCUUGUACCCGGGAUGAUAAUGACAGUACCGGGAGAAUAAGCUACGGCUAACUCCGUG
rnacentral:rRNA from 1 species